rnacentral:tRNA from 1 species
GUAUAGCUCAGUGGUAGAGUGUGUGCUUAGCAUGCACGAGAUCCUGGGUUCAAUCCCCAGUGC